AUUGAACGCUGGCGGCAGGCCUAACACAUGCAAGUCGAGCGGUUGAGGGGAGCUUGCUCCCUGAUUCAGCGGCGGACGGGUGAGUAAUGCCUAGGAAUCUGCCUAUUAGUGGGGGACAACGUUUCGAAAGGAACGCUAAUACCGCAUACGUCCUACGGGAGAAAGCAGGGGACCUUCGGGCCUUGCGCUAAUAGAUGAGCCUAGGUCGGAUUAGCUAGUUGGUGAGGUAAUGGCUCACCAAGGCGACGAUCCGUAACUGGUCUGAGAGGAUGAUCAGUCACACUGGAACUGAGACACGGUCCAGACUCCUACGGGAGGCAGCAGUGGGGAAUAUUGGACAAUGGGCGAAAGCCUGAUCCAGCCAUGCCGCGUGUGUGAAGAAGGUCUUCGGAUUGUAAAGCACUUUAAGUUGGGAGGAAGGGUUGUAGAUUAAUACUCUGCAAUUUUGACGUUACCGACAGAAUAAGCGCCGGCUAACUCUGUGCCAGCCGCCGCCGUAAGAC
rnacentral:rRNA from 1 species